UAAUACGAAGGGUGCAAGCGUUAAUCGGAAUUACUGGGCGUAAAGCGCGCGUAGGUGGUUUGUUAAGUUGAAUGUGAAAGCCCCGGGCUCAACCUGGGAAUUGCAUUCAAAACUGCUUGGCUAGAGUGCGAGAGAGGAGAGUAGAAUUUCUGGUGUAGCGGUGAAAUGCGUAGAUAUCAGAAGGAAUACCAAUGGCGUAGGCAGCUCUCUGGCUCGUCACUGACGCUAAGGUGCGAAAGCGUGGGUAGCAAACAGGAUUAGAUACCCUGGUAGUCCACGCCGUAAACGAUGAGAACUAGCCGUUGGAGGGAAUUAACUCUUCGGUGGCGCAGCUAACGCAUUAAGUUCUCCGCCUGGGGACUACGGCCGCAAGGCUA
rnacentral:rRNA from 1 species